AACGGCCUUAUCACGUCCAAACACCGGGUCUUGUACGAUCGUCGAAAUUAAGCAACGUCGCUCUUGGUUAGUACCUAGAUGGGUGACCGCUUGGGAAUAUCACGUGCUGUAAG